rfam:Cavia porcellus supercont2_32 genomic scaffold, whole genome shotgun sequence.
GGUGCAGCUGAUGACACUAGCGACCAAAGUCUGACAAAAAUGACUGUUACCCAUUGUCUGAUGCACC